AUGAAAGGAAAGAUACUUGAAUUAGAGCCAUCUGACCGCUAGUAGUUCAAGGAGAAGGGAAAGAAAGUGGUGUUUGAGAAAUCCAAGUUUCCGCCACUUGUUUACAAGGGAAAAGAGAAGAUGGUGGAGACACUCAAAUCCAAGCUACCUGGGAAAAGAGGCGGCAUUGCGUUCAUAUUGCCAUCAGCGUCGUCUUCAACAGGAAGGCCCACCAACGCUCGGAACAUACUUCGAGCCGAUGCUCCUGAGUCCGUCCCCUUACUGGCCCAUAAACCUAGUGGGGAAUGCUUGGGAAUAAUGAAACGUUCUGUGGAAUGGAAGGGAGUGUGCCUUACAUCUGGUGACCUCAAAACAGGUCACAUAAAUCAAGCAUCUGCACCAUCAGUUCCUCUAUUUGAAGAAGCACCCAUCUUACGAGAGUCCUUUGAAGGUUUGUUUGAUCCAGUGCGACAUCAAUGGCGACAGAGAAAUAUCCGUCGAUCUUGGAUUGAUCUUCCAGCUCCCGUAGAUCAAGAUGCGGCGAGCCGACACCGCCCUCAUGUGAGCAAGUCCGUCAAGGGGAGAUGGAAAAACACUCGUCCAAAGAUCCAAGUUCAGAAUCCAGAUGACUCAUAUGUUAUUGUUCUCGGCGCAUCCACAUCACAAAAUGAUGAAGGUGGUGCCAUCAUGCGACUGGCGGAGGCCCUGGCCCAAUGACCUGAGUACCAAUAAUUCAUUCAGCAACAUCCUGAACAUCAAGAGUAUGUGAACCAAGCUGCACGUGUCCGUUCAAGAAGGGCAGCGUACAAAGAAAGAGAAAGGGCAGUACAUGCAAGGUCUGGGUGAAGCAGAGUCCAAGGGGCAGAACACACUCCAUCUGAUGAGCCCUCUCGUAAGCAUACCAAGAAUAAAUCAUUCGAGUUGUUGCAAGCAAUGCCAAUUGGUGUCAGGGUGGCGUCGGACAAGACCAGCAAAAGAUCCUCCACAUCAACACAUUUCAAGAGGAAGAAGGCACGCAAAACUGUUGUAGAGGGUCCUCGUCGUAAGACACGAAGUCAAAAAGGUUUAGAUUAUGAAGAACUUGGGUCCGGCUAUGGUGGGUCUUAUAAUCCCCUAUCGGACAGUACCCCUUGUCCUUCUGAAAAUGAGAUAGAACCCCCCCCCCAUGGUGCAGAACAUAUAGAACAAGUCCUAGCCACAAAUGGAACUCGUUCGGUUGAGGAGCAAUUAGCCAACCUUACGACAGCACUUCAACAAAAGGAAGAAGAGCUAGCAGCCCUUCGAAUUCAAAUGACCAAUAACCAGAACAAAGGAAAUGAAGGGGCUGGUGGCGUGAGUGCUAGCUGCCAACAUGGAGGAGCAGGGCUUAACCUUGAGGCGAUCCAAAGUAUGACCGCUGAGGGGGUAAAGUCCCAGUUGAUGCCAACUCAGUACUCGAUGCGGCCAGGGUAUGUUAAGCCGCACCCACCUGAUGUGGACCUAGUUCCUUUCCCAACAAAUUAUAGGCAGCCGCAGUUUAGUAAGUUCAAUGGGAGUGGAUCUCCCCAUGAGCAUAUAGCACACUUCCUUGCUGCUUGUCAAGAUACAGCCAACAAUGGAGCACUUCUCCUUAGAUAG
rnacentral:rRNA from 1 species